UACGUAGGGCGCAAGCGUUAUCCGGAAGUUAUUGGGCGUAAAGAGCUCGUAGGCGGUUUGUCGCGUCUGCCGUGAAAGCCCCGGGGCUCAACUCCGGAAUUGCCUUUAAGACUUGCAGUCGCUAGAAUUGGUGGAGAGGUAAGUGGAAUUCCGAGUGUAGAGGUGAAAUUCGUAGAUAUUCGGAAGAACACCAGUGGCGAAGGCGACUUACUGGACACAUAUUGACGCUGAGGUGCGAAAAGCGUGGGGAGCAAACAGG
rnacentral:rRNA from 1 species